GACGAACGCUGGCGGCACGCCUAACACAUGCAAGUCGAACGGACUUACAAGAGCUUGCUUUUGUAAGUUAGUGGCGGACGGGUGAGUAACACGUGAGCAACCUGCCUCUGAGAGGGGGAUAGCUUCUGGAAACGGAUGGUAAUACCCCAUAAAAUAUAAAUAUCGCAUGAUAGGUAUAUCAAAGAAAUUCGCUCAGAGAUGGGCUCGCGACUGAUUAGCUAGUUGGUGAGGUAACGGCUUACCAAGUCGACGAUAAGUAGCCGGACUGAAAGGUUGAACGGCCGGAUUGGGAAUGUGGCACGGCGCCGCCACCUAGGGAAGGCAGAAGUGGGGAGUAUUGCACAAUGGAGGGAACUCUAAUGCAGCGGUGCAGGGUGGAGGAAGAAUGUUUUUGGAUUGCACACUCAUUUUAUCAGACGCGCGAAUGACGGUACCUGAAGAAAAAGCUCCGGCUAACUACGUG
rnacentral:rRNA from 1 species